rnacentral:rRNA from 1 species
GAUGAACGCUAGCGGCAGGCCUAAUACAUGCAAGUCGAGGGGUAGAAGAGGCUUGCUUCUUUGAGACCGGCGCACGGGUGCGUAACGCGUAUGCAACCUACCUUCAUCUGGGGGAUAGCCCGGAGAAAUCCGGCUUAAUACCGCAUAAAAUCACAGGAUGGCAUUAUCAAAUGAUCAAACAUUUAUGGGAUGGAGAGGGGCAUGCGUGUCAUUAGCUAGUUGGCGGGGUAACGGCCCACCAAGGCGACGAUGACUAGGGGAUCUGAGAGGAUGGCCCCCCACACUGGUACUGAGACACGGACCAGACUCCUACGGGAGGCAGCAGUAAGGAAUAUUGGUCAAUGGAGGCAACUCUGAACCAGCCAUGCCGCGUGCAGGAAGACUGCCCUAUGGGUUGUAAACUGCUUUUAUUCGGGAAUAAACCUUAUUACGUGUAAUAAGCUGAAUGUACCGAAGGAAUAAGGAUCGGCUAACUCCGUGCCAGCCGCCGCAGUAAUAC